GAUGAACGCUGGCGGCGUGCCUAAUACAUGCAAGUCGAGCGAACGGACGAGAAGCUUGCUUCUCUGAUGUUAGCGGCGGACGGGUGAGUCACACGUGGCUAACCUACCUAUAAGACUGGGAUAACUUCGGGAAACCGUAGCUAAUACCGGAUAAUAUUUUGAACCGCAUGGUUCAAAAGUGAAAGACGGUCUUGCUGUCACUUAUAGAUGGAUCCGCGCUGCAUUAGCUAGUUGGUAAGGUAACGGCUUACCAAGGCAACGAUGCAUAGCCGACCUGAGAGGGUGAUCGGCCACACUGGAACUGAGACACGGUCCAGACUCCUACGGGAGGCAGCAGUAGGGAAUCUUACGCAAUGGGCGAAAGCCUGACGGAGCAACGCCGCGUGAGUGAUGAAGGUCUUCGGAUCGUAAAACUCUGUUAUUAGGGAAGAACAUAUGUGUAAGUAACUGUGCACAUCUUGACGGUACCUAAACAGAAAGCAACGGCUAACUACGUG
rnacentral:rRNA from 1 species